AUGGAGGGGCUCCUGCACUGGGAUUUCAACCCUGGCCUUGCAGUGGCCGAUCAGGUACGUUGUCGGUUUGGAGAGACGGUGCACUUCUCUCCUUCAUGCAAGACCAAGGAAUUUUUCUUGGUUGUCUCCUUUUCUUCAGCUUCCUUCCCCCUCAAUGAGGAAUCUGAGGGUGUGGCCCUUCAAUGCUGCAUCGGU
rnacentral:rRNA from 1 species